rnacentral:rRNA from 1 species
UCGGAAUUACUGGGCGUAAAGCGUGCGCAGGCGGUCUCUUAAGACAGGUGUGAAAUCCCCGGGCUUAACCUGGGAACUGCGCUUGUAACUGAGAGGCUUGAGUGUGCCAGAGGGGGGUGGAAUUCCACGUGUAGCAGUGAAAUGCGUAGAGAUGUGGAGGAACACCGAUGGCGAAGGCAGCCCCCUGGGGUAACACUGACGCUCAUGCACGAAAGCGUGGGGAGCAAACAGG